rnacentral:lncRNA from 1 species
CAGGAAAGAACAAUACUAAGCAUUUUAGUUCUUUAGUGAGUUUGGAUACUGAGAGAAGAUUGAACUUAAAUAUACAACACAUUAUGUAUGUCUUGGUUUUUAAACAUAGUAGCCAAUUAUGUAUGUGUAACUAAUGCUACCCCUCCUGUAUGUAAAUCCACAUUAUCCCUGUCUGAUUUUUGUGUUAAUUUGUGUGCCCUAAAUAUUUGUAAGCUAGAGGUCAUGUGAUUAGAAGCACCGGUAUCCACAAUCCAUUCUCUAUCACUAUAAAAAGACACAUGAUCAGUUUCUGUACCUGCAAAUGCUGACGUAGUUGAGGGUCCUUCAUCUGAUCCCUUGCUGAGCAUUUGAAUGAUCUGCAUAUACUAUUAUGGUGUGAAGAAAGUUGAGGGAGCUUUUU